UUCUGUCAGUCGUACUUUAACCAUGAAGCAGUUGGUGUUACUGUUUAUUAUAUUUCAAAUAGUUUAUUCACGUCCUCACCAUGAAGAUUCACAUUCACCAGAUAAGGAUAAAGUUGAAAAAUCUAAAGAUCAAGAAUUUAAAGAUUAUUUUGAGGAAGGAAGUUUUCAAAAAAAAACUGAUAAAGUCAACGACAAUGAUUUUAUAGCAAAUAUACCAAAGUGUGCAAAGGAUAUGUAUAGAACACCGUGGGGAGUUUGCCAACAUAAAGGCAAAAAACAAAAAACAAAGAAAAAAUACUAUCCAGGGACAUGGAUGUUGUCAGAUUAGCUAAAUACGUAACAACUUAAGACAAGGUCAAAAAAUUGAGACUAAAUAAAUUAAUGAACGACUGGAUACUUCAUAGAUUUCACAAUUUUUUACAGAAAAACUGAGUUGCGAAAGUUAUGUUGUAUAAACUUAAUUAGAUUAGAAACCCUCGUAUAAAGAUUCAGAUUUUGAUUAUUUGUUUUAUUUGCAUAUUGAGUAGAAGGAUGAAUUUGUUGCUAAUAAAUCAAUAUUUUAAAUGUGA